rnacentral:rRNA from 1 species
UACGUAGGGGGCAAGCGUUGUCCGGAAUUAUUGGGCGUAAAGAGCUCGUAGGCGGCUUGUCACGUCGGGUGUGAAAACCCGAGGCUUAACCUCGGGCCUGCGGUGGAUACGGGCGAACUAGAGGUAGGUAGGGGAGAACGGAAUUCCCGGUGUAGCGGUGAAAUGCGCAGAUAUCGGGAGGAACACCGGUGGCGAAGGCGGUUCUCUGGGCCUUACCUGACGCUGAGGAGCGAAAGCGUGGGGAGCGAACAGG